AUCCAGCUGAUGAGUCCCAAGUAGGACGAAACGCGCGUCCUGCAU
rnacentral:hammerhead_ribozyme from 1 species